rnacentral:pre_miRNA from 15 species
GGAAGAGGUAACAUGGACUGUGCCUGGCUCCCUGUAUGCCACUCGUGUGGGCGCCAAUCUAUCGAGACUGGCGACUGCGGCUGGCGUGCGAGGAGCCAAGCAUAUCUCUCUCUCUCUCUCUCU